ACAAAAAAUGUACAAAGUUCAAUGAUUUUGCUGUGAUAAUAUAAUCUUAAUAUAAGCUAAUUUUGUGACUUGAUUAUUCCUUUAAUCUAUUUUGGAAGAAACAAAUGUACAUAUGGCUAAUUAUAGCAUCUAUCCCAUCUAUUGUGAGAGGUUGUACUAUGAAGUUGGUGCAUAUAGUGAAAAUACAGAGGAUAAAAUGAGAGAAGGUCGUCUGAAUCUAUCAAGCCAUAUCAGUGGACCUUUUGGAGCACGGAUCCGUAGGUAUAAUUAUAUGAUGUUGGAAGAUGAUAAGAGGGAAUGAGUUAAACCAAUAACAUAUACCAUAGAGUGAUAAUAUUACAACCUCUUGGAGCCAAUGAGGACUUAACUGAGAACAUAAAACAACGGAUGCAAAUAUAUCUAGUUGUUAUGAUAAGCAUAACAUCCGGCGUUGGUGAACUGUCUUUUGACUUAAAAGACAAACUUUUCAUAACUGGAAUGAAUGAACCUGAUUAGAGCAUAAUGCAUAAAGUUGAUUCAUAUAAUUGAAACUGAACAGUUUGGGUUUGAGACAGCUGAAUUAAUGUUAAUUGAUUGAUCUACUCAGUGUCAAAUUUUCAUAUCAUCUAGUCCUUCUUCGAUCAAGGAGGUGCCGAAAUCCAACAUAAGAUGUUUAGGACUUCAUAACCAAAUUGAAAAGUGAAAGCCAUGACUCAUGAAUAUGGUGAAUUUUCAAAUAAAAUAGUAUUCAAUUUGUAUGAUGUGUUUAACAAUUGUGUACUCUUAAAUGUCAGUCUCUCUAAAAACUAUUUCUGAGCUAGCAUUUACAAAAAGAAUGUUGGCCUUGACUCAAUAAACAAGAAGCUGCCAGUUUCCACUCUCUUGGUGCAUAGAAGAAAUUGAACAGCAGCAUGAAGGAAUCAAGAGGAGCAAAGCUUUGUGAAGAUCUCCAGCAGCUACACCUUUCUUGAUUAGCGAAAUGAUGUAGCUCAUAAAGGUUGAAUCACAGGGUAAUGUAAUAGGGCCACCACUUGGCAACCCAAACUCUUCUUCGGACAUGCUUAAAAGUUGCCUAAUGAACUCAUUUUCAAGGUAAACCAAUGGAACGACAAAGCGGGAUUGAACAGCUGUAUAAACUACAAAAUGGCCUUUCUCAACUAUAGAGGAUGAAGAUGUACUGCAACUGUCUGCAUCACUACCAUUUCUUGGAAAUGAAAUCCUCUUCCUUUGCAUAGCGGCAAACUUCUGCCAUUUCCUGGCCAUCUUGAUGAGUUUCUUAGCGCUGAGCAAUGCCAUUUUCUUUUUGUUGGAAGAUUGAAAAUAAGAAAGUAGAAAAGAAAUUUAGAGACUUUUGAUUGUUGAACUGAUAAUGCUUGUCCUUGAUGAAAAGGCUCGUGAAAGAGGGAUUAUUUAUACAAAAUGGAGCUGAAGUUCUUGUCACUAACCACCCAAGGCAAAGCCAUGUGUCUAUGUCUGUUGUCCAAGUUGGUAUGGGUCCAAAAAUUAGCUAUAAUAUCAGCUCAUAAAUGGUACUUCUCACCAAUGUUAAUAAUCUGAAACCAUUAAAUGACAAUUGUAGGUGAGAAGCAAAAACAUGUUCUUCUCUCUUCAUUUUCACAUAGAUAGGGGACACUUGACUAUCAUCUUGGCUAGUUGUGCUAGAAAAACCAUUUCAUUAAAGUCAUCAUGUGGCUAUUCUAUUUCGGUCUCUUUCACCCUAUCUUUAAUUCUGGUGGUCCAGGCAAAUUUAUCAUCUUGAUCUAUUCUUGUGGAUUUUUUUCUAAGAGUGUCCUUUAUUACGAAUCAUUAGUCUUGUUCUUCAACAAGUUUGUGGUCUGAACACUUUAGAGAGUAAGAAAAACCGUGUGAAAAUUCAUAUGGCAUUGUCUCUCACUAUAUGGUCACCUAUUUCUCUUGACCACCACCAAAUAUUUUGAUAUGAAACUUGUCAUAAACUUGAGUGUAUAUAUAUAUACACUAGUUUCUGAGCACGUGCUUCGCACGUGUGUUUCAUGUGAAUUUUUAUAGAUAUGUUAGAAUGACUAAAAUUUCAUGGAAAUAUAUAUGUAAAUUGUAAUGAAUAAUAAAAUGCAACAAUUACAAAAUAAGAAUAAAGACUUACGGCAAUAAAACAUUCAUAGAAAACUAAAUCAAGAAAUCUAAUAGAGAAAAAAAAAGACAAAAAGAAACAGAUUUAAGAAAAAAUACAAAGUAAACAUUAUUUUUAUAAGACUGAUGUAUAGAUGAAAAAAUAAGUACAAAAUUAGUACAUAACUCUCUGAGUUCUUAUUGACUCCUUCCAUAUCCUAUCAAAAUUCAAGAGUCUUCUUCAUCUACUUUAACUAUAGAAUAAAAAUAAUAGCCUAAUAAUCUUGGUAGGGGUUUCAUGAGAUAAAGAAGUUGAAUUUAUAUAGAUAGAAUAGAAGGAAUAUCAAAAGAUAUCUUAAAGUUUUAGUUUAAAUAUUUGGAGGUUAUGAAUAUGAAAAGAUGUGAGUUAUGGAUAUUAAGAGUAUAAAAGUUGAAUAAGUAAUUAGAAAAUAAUAAUAAAUAAAUGAAGAAUAGGAAAAAGAAAAUUAAAGUUAGCAAACCAUGUAGAAAGAACAACUAAAAAGUUCUUAUCACGUAAUUAAGCAUCAAUGAAUUUAGAUUUGUGAAGCUAGAGUCAUUCUUUAAUAAUAAUCAAGAGGACAUUAUCAAUGUGUGUGUCUCCAUUUUGCAGAUUUGCACCCUUUAAAUUAUUAAUUUCGAUAAUACUUUAUCCACAUAAAUUAUAUUAUUUAUGAGAGGGGUUCAGGAAAAAGUAAUGAGAAGAGGAAAAGUAUAGCAAUUUAGGUAGAGGUUUUUUUUUUUUAAAAUUUAUUAUUAUUAUAUACAUAUAGAUUAUAGAUUAUAAAUAUUAAUAAAUUAGAUAUUUAAUUAGGAAUUAAUCUUAGGAAGUCUAAAAGUCAUUAACAUUUUAAUUAAACUUAUACAAUCAAAUAUUUAAAUAUUUUAUAGCAAUUUAAUUUCUAGAAGUGGUAAAACCGUAAUUCAACUUUCAACUUUUUUUGUUCAUGCUUUUAGUAAUAUAUGAUAUACUAGUUUCCAGACUUGCAACAAACUUUCACUUGUGUGUUUCUAAAAUCCUUCAUUUUUUUUUCCUCUUUACCAAGUAAGGAGGUGCUAGAACUUGUUAGACAAUUGGCAUUUCAGCUUCCAGCUUAUUGUUUUUUACUCGGUUUUAGUUUAGUGCUUCCCAUUUUCUAGCUAGACUAAGUCAACUUUAGUUGCUUAACUUUUUUAAGUUAGUGGCCCUUUUAUGACUGUUAGUGGCACAUGUUUUUUAUUUAGUUUUGCAUUCACUUUGUAGGUGACUACUAGAUAGGAAAUGGUUAGGUUAACAAACCUUAGAUUACUAUUCAUAAUGAGUUAACGAAUCUCUACUAUUAACAAACGUGCAACAAAAAAACUGAUAUCAUUUCCUUUGCUUUCUAGUAAUGUUGCAAUCUGAAUAUCUAGCUUACCGCUUUAAAAAUAUUAGCUAUUUCGAUAGAGCGUUAUUUGCUGAAGUGUAGACUGCAAUUGUUGGAAUCAUUCUAUCCUGUAUCGUUAGCUUUCUAGUAAUGUUGCACUUGUCCUGUAAAGUCGAAAAAAAUGCUUCUAUCAUUUAACAAUGUAAUUUUUUGUUUACUUAUCACAAAUAUCAUUCUUAUUCCACUUAAUGAAAUUUUCUUGGAUGUGCUACAUUGCACCACACAAUGCAGCUGUUGUCAGUGGCAGAGCCAGAAAUUUUAAUAAGGGGGUUCAAAAUCUGAGAAGUAAACACACGAACUAGUGGAAGGGGGUUUGACAUCUAUUAUACAUACCUAAAAAAUAAUUUGAACCAUGUAUAAAUAGUAAUAUUUUUCGCCGAGGGGGUUCGGAUCAUUAUAUGCUGCCUCCGCCCCUGGCUGUUGCAUGCAGGUGCUUAAUAACUCUCUUCAGUAGAAUUCUAAAAGAUUAAAGCUAUUGUUUAAGCAAAUAUUAGCGAACGAGAUAUUAGUCAGGACUAGAAGUCUUCUAUUCAAAAAUAUGAUCAAGAAGAGUUUUUCCUUCCUAGGUUCUUAUGUUUCUGAACUACACAUUGAAUUUGUUUUCUCUGAAUCCUCUCUCUCUUUUACAUGUCAUACUAUUCUACAAAGUUUGCACUAUGAUACUACUCAUGAUCUUUUUAAGCAGAACGUGAGAUCAACAAACAUGUCCUCUUUGCAAGGUAUGGAAAUAGAAGCCAAACUCUUCUUAGCUAACAUGUCUGGAAAUUAAGGUUGGCUCAAGUAUGAGACUGGCACCAAGAUUUGCUUCUUCUGGAUCUCUCCUACAUAAACUGCACAGUGACUUUUGGGAACACCUCCAGAAGUUGAAAACCUCCUCAAGACUCUAUUAUCUUGACUAAAUAGUGAGUGAGAUACUUUGUAACUUCAAAUGAUGACAAGACAAAGGAUUCUUUUGAGAAAUACACAGCAAGUGUAAGUUUGUUUGCACGUCUGUAGACUUGUGUCUUGCUUAAAACGAUUUCUACGUAUGUGUGUAUAUAUAUACAAGUUAGGGAAAAGUUUUUUAUCCAAAUUUAAUGGUGAGAGAAAAUGGCACAUGAAACUUCAUGGUUUUGCUUACUCUGUUAUUAUCAACAAUUUCAAACAACAAAUUUGUUGAAGAACAACAUUAGGCCCCACUAUAAAAUAAAAUCAACAAGAACUGAUGAAGUUGAUUACCAAGAUGGAAAUAUAAAGGUCACCUAUCUACAUGACAAAGAAAAGAGUGGAACAUGGCUUUGCUUCUUACCAGCAAUUGUUCAUUUAAUGGAUUCAAACUAUUGGCAUUGAGAGAAGAAAGCAAGAAACUUAUCAUCUUAUAUUGAGAGAAGAAAGCAAGAAACUUACCAACUUGGCCAACAGACAUCGGCACAUGGCUUUGCCUUUUUAGGGACAAAAAAUUCAGCUUCAACCCAAGGCCUAUCUAUAGUAUUUUGUAUAUAAAUAAUCCCCCAUUCAUGACCCUUUUUCAUCAGCAAGCACAAGCAUUAUCAAUUUAGCCAUCAAAGGUCUCUAGAUUUCUUAUUUAAUUUCUUUUUUCCAGUCUUCCAAGAAAAAUGGCAAUUCUCAGCGCUAAGAAACUCAUCAAGUUAGUCAGGAGAUGGCAGAAGUUUGCCGCUAUGCAGAGGAAGAGGAUUUCAUUUCCAAGAAAUGAUAGUGAUGCAGACAGUUGCAGUACAUCUUCAUCCUCUAUAGUUGAGAAAGGCCAUUUUGUAGUUUAUACAGCUGAUCAAGCCCGCUUUGUCAUUCCAUUGGCUUACCUCGAAAAUGAAGUCAUUAGGCAGCUUUUAAACAUGUCUGAAGAAGAGUUUGGGUUGCCAAGUGGUGGCCCUAUUACAUUACCCUGUGAUUCAGCCUUCAUGAGUUACAUCAUUUCACUAAUCAAGAGAGGUGUAACUGCUGGAGAUCUUCACCAAGCACUACUCCUCUCAAUUCCUUCAGGCUAUUGUUCAACUUCUUCUUUGCACCAAGAAAGUGGAAGCCGGCUGAUUCUUGUUUGUUGAGUCAAGGCCAACAUUCUUUUUGUAAAUGUUAGAUCAGAAAUAGUUUUUAGAGAGGCGUACAUUGAAGAGUACACAAUUGUAAAGCACAUCAUAAAAAUUUAAUACUACUUUAUUUGAAAAUUCACCAUAUUCAUGGCUUUCAUUUUUCAAAUUGGUUAUGAUCCUAACAAUCUAAUGUUGGAUUCUUUUACCUCCUUGAUUGAAGAAGUGCUAGACGGUAUGAAAGUUUGAAACAAAGGAGAUCAUUCAAUCAACAUUCAACUGUGUCUUAAACACAAACUGUUUAGUCUCAAUUAUAUGAAUCAACUUUAUGCAUUAUGUUCUUAUCCUAAUAUAAGCUAAUUUUGUGGCUUGCUUAUUCCUUUAAUCUAUUUUGGAAGAAACAAAUGAACAUAUGGCUAAUCGCUUAUUAUAGCAUCUUAUCCCAUUUAUUUUGAACUUGUUGUGAGAGGUUGGACAAUGAAGUUGGUGCAUAUAGUGCAAAUACAGAGGAUAAAAUGAGAGAAGGUCGUCUGAAUCUAAUCAAGCCAUAUCCUAGUGUACCUUUAGGAGCACGGAUCCGUAGGUAUAAUUAUAUGAUGUUGGAAGAUGAUAAGAGGGAAUGAGUUAAACCAAUAACAUAUACAUAGAGUGCUAAUAUUACAACCUCUUGGAGCCAAUGCGGACUUAACUGAGAACAUAAACCAAUGGAUGCUUAAGCAUAACAUCCGGCGUUGGUGAACUGUCUUUUGACUUAAAAGAUGAACUUUUCAUAACUGGAAUGAAUGAACCUGAUUAGAGCAUAAUGCAUAAAGGUGAUUCAUAUAAUUGAGACUAAACUAUUUGGGUUUGAGACAACUGAAUUAUUGUUAAUUGAUUGAUUUACUCGGUGUCAAAUUUUCAUAUCAUCUAGUCCUUCUUCUAUCAAGGAGGUGCUGAAAUCCAAAAUUAUAUGUUUAGGACUUCUCAUAACCAAAUUGAAAAGUGAAAACCAUAACUCAUGAAUAUGGUAAAUUUUCAAAUAAAGUAGUAUCAAAAUUUUGUAUGAUGUGCUUUACAAUUGUGUACUCAUCAAUGUCCGCCUCUCUAAAAACUAUUUUGAGCUAGAUUUACAAAAAGAAUGUUGGCCUUGACUCAACAAACAAGAAGAUGUUGUUUUCCACUUUCUUGGUGUAAAGAAGAAGUUGAACAGCGGCAUGAAGGAAUCGAGAGGAGCACAGCUCUGUGAAGAUCUCCAGCAGCUACACCUUUCUUGAUUAGUGAAAUGAUGUAGCUCAUGAAGGCUGAAUCACAGGGUAAUGUAAUAGGGCCACCUCUUGGCAACCCAAACUCUUCUUCGGACAUGCUUAAAAGUUGCCUAAUGACCUCAUUUUCAAGGUAAGCCAAUGGAACGACAAAGUGGGUUUGAUCAGCUGUAUAGACUACAAAAUGGCCUUUUUGAACUAUAGAGGAUGAAGAUGCAUUGCAACUGUCUACAUAACUAGCAUUUCUUGGAAAUGAAAUCCUCUUCCUCUGCAUAGCCGCAAACUUCUGCCAUUUCCUGGCCAUCUUGAGUUUCUUAGCGCUGAGCAUUGCCAUUUGUUUUUUUGGAAGAUUGAAAAUAAGAAAGUAGCAAGAAAUUUAGAGAGCUUUGAUGGUUGAACUGAUAAUGCUUGUCCUUGAUGAUGAAAAGGCUCAUGAAAGAGGGAUUAUUUAUACAAAAUGGAGCUGAAGUUUUUGUCACUAACCACCGAAGGCAAAACCAUGUGCUGAUGUUUGUUGGCCAAGUUGGCAUGGGGACUAAAAUUUGUGGAUGAAGCUAGGUAUAUUAGCUAUAAUAUCAUCUCAUAAAUGGUACUUCUCACCAAUGCAAAUAAUUAGAAACCAUUAAAUGAACAAUUGCUGGUGAGAAGCAAAACGAUGUUCUUCUCCCUUCAUUUUCAUGUAGAUAGGGGACACUUGACCAUCAGUUUGGCUAGUUGUGCUUGAAAAAUCACUUCAUUAAACUCACAUGUGGCUAUCUGUUUUGGUCUUUGUUGGUCUAGGCAAAGUCAUCAAAUAUUGUUCUUCAACAUAUUUAUGUUUGAAUACUUUAGAGAGUACGCAAAACUAUUGUCUCUAAACAUUGAAACUUUAUCUGCCAUUGUUUCUCACCAGUAGUCACCUAUUUCUCUUGACCACCACUAGAUAUUUCAACAUGAAACUUGUAUAUAUACACACAGAUACUGUAUGUUUUGUGGUGCCAAUAUCAAACUUGAGCCAACCUCUCUUUCAAGACUUGUUAGCUAAUGCUGAAGAAAAGUUUGACUUUGAUCUUCCAAUGCGUGGUCUCAUUUCAAUUCCAACACCCCUCUUCAAGUUGGAGGGGAGUGAAGCAAGACCCAACUUGCCGAGAAUUGAAUGAUGAGAUGGUCCCGAUAAUGGUUUAGUGAACAAGUCUGCAAGUUGAGAGGAAGAGGGAACGAAUUGAAGAGAAAUCAAACCAGAAAGGAAUUGUUGCCGAACAAAAUGGCAAUCAAUUUCUACAUGUUUGGUUCGUUCAUUAAAAACAGGAUUGCGAGCAAUAUGGAUUGCGGCUAGGUUAUCAGAAUGAAGUGGAAUCGGAACUGAAGGAGUAGCUCCAAGAUCCGUGAGUAAUCGAGUGAGCCAAGUGAUCUCUGAAACAACUCUUCUCAUAGAUCUAUAUUCUGCCUCAACAGAGGAUAAAGAAACAGAUGCUUGCUUCUUUUAUUUCCAUGAGAUUGGGGAUCCUUCCAAGCUGAUAAAGAACCCACUGAUUGAUCUAUGAGUGUUGGGGCAAGAACCCCAAUCUGCAUCGCAAAAAGCAAGUAAUUUGAAUGAAGGAUCAGCAGAUAGGAAAAGUCCUUGGCUUGGAUUUGACUUGAGAUAUCGGAGUACUCUUAAUGCAGCUGUAAAAUGAGGUCCUCUUGGUUGUUGCAUGUACUGACUUAGAUGAUGAACUGCGAAAGAGAGAUCUGGCCUAGUGUGAGUGAGAUAAUUCAAUUUUCCAAGGAGUCUCCGAUAGGAAGUUGGAUCAGUCUGUAAAUCUCACACCUAGAUACGACUAGAAAGAGUUUAAAAUCUGAAAAUAAUGAUUUUGGAAAGAAUAAGGAAAUCUGGAAAAUUGUCUAAGUUAAGAAAGUGAGUUUUGGCUAUUUUCAAACGGCCAUAACUCCUUCUCAGGAUGAGUUAGGAGCAUUUGUUGAUUAGUUGGAAAGCCCUUGGAGAGAUCUUUCCAACGCCGCCGAGUUUGCGCGAUUUCGACAUCGUAUGAGUGAGAUAUGCCUUUCGGAAGUUGGACUGUUGGAUUGAGGAAAGUCCCAAUCCGGAUUUAGGGAAGGGCAAAAUAGUCUUUUCUCUAAUUUAUUUCCUAAGUUUUUAGGGAUUUAUUGAGGGUAAAAACAGAACCUAAUUCAGUUUUGAAAAAUUAGAAUACGCUUAAGGCUUGGAGAAGAGAGAAAGAAAGAAAGAACGGGAGAAGAAGGGAAGAAUUCACCUAGAUCAUCCAAGCUGGCGAGUGGAAUUCGUCGGGGGUGAUCCCUAUUAAGGUAUGUGAGAUCCUUUCAUGAUGGGUUAGUUCACCCACACUCCCAACUUAUUUCUAUUCAGAGAAUGGUUGUUUAUUGAAUGAAAAGUUAGUGAGUUCUUGAAGAAAUUUUUUGAAAUUCGUUAAGUUCUUGUUGGUUGAGUUGUUGAUGCUUGGUGGUAGAGUUGAUUCAUGUUUCCGGGCCAUUUUUUUUUAGUUAGAUUAGUUGUGUAUUGAGGAUACAAUUGAUCCUAAGUGUUUGGGGAAAGAACUAGGAAGAUUUGAGGUUUAGAGAUGAAAAUGGAGAAGAAAAAUCGAGAAAACCUGGGCAACGGGGCUGGGGCGCCGCGCCAGCCAGUGCGCCCCACAGACUUCUCUGAAGUUUGGGGCCUGGCUCCCCACGCCUCUCAGAGCGCCAGGGACGCCAGUUCUCCCCAUUCGUCCCCCACCUUUUAGUACUUGUUCCUUAGCAAUGUACCUAUGUUUCUAAGUUGAUUCCAACACUCUAAGGUACAUAUAAACAUCAUGAAAUCAUCCAUAAACAUGAGAUCAUGAGCCUUGAAUCCAUAAUCCAAUUCAAGGAAAGUUAAGAUCAAAGUAAAAAAAAGUUAAGAGUCAAGUCUAGAAGUUAAGCAACAAGUCAAAACAAAGUUUCUUAAAGUUUUCAAGAGUCUUUAUUAAACGUUUUAACUUCGUUUUAAGUUUCAAGUAAAGCAAAGAGUAAAAGUUGAGUUCAUUUCUCAAAAGUUAUUAGGCAACUAUGUAUUCCCAAAGAAGUUUAUAAAUGUUUUCACAUUUGAGCAAAGAAAAAGGAACAUCGAUUCCAAAAGAGCCUUUAGGCUAAGCUGUGAGCAAUUAUCUCAAACUAAAGAAAGAGGUGUUUAAAACACAUAUGAGCUAAAGUAUAGUUUGGGAGUAGUAUUGAGCACCGAAUUGGGGAUGCGAGUUCAUAUUAACUCAAAUCUUCAUAAGAACCAUAUGGCCAACAUGGGAUUUAACGGGUCAUACUUUUUAGAUGAUCAUGUAAGUUAAGCUAGUGGAUCCACUAAGUUAAGUAAGGUCCUAUAUCAAGGCAAGGUAUAGGAUGGUCCUUGGGCAACGUGUGGUAAAACGUUGUAUCAUCACUAGGGCUCAUAGUGGUGGUUGUCGGUUAAAGAAUCUCCCACUAAAGUUAUAUUACUUUUAUAUAUAAGUAAAGUUGAGUUUGUUAUUGCUUAUCUUUAACGAACUAAGUUGUUUACACUGUUUUACAAGCUUUAUAUAUAUAUUGCGUGUGUCUUAUUACUUUAUAUUGAGUUCAGUUAUUCAUGAGUUAAACAGAGCCAAAGUAAGUGUUCCUUUAUCCUCCUUUCAAGCUUAAGCUGUGAUUUAACAUUCCAAUUCGCAUACUCGUACAUUCAAUGUAUUGAUGCCAGUUGGCCUGCAUCUUAUUAUGAUGCAGACGCAGGUAACCAGGAUCAGCAUCCAACGCGCCAUUGAUCCCGUUGAGCACUCCAGAGUCAGUGGUGAGCCUCCUUGCAUUCCGAAAGACUCUUUUUAUUUCGCUUUCUUAGUUUUCUUUAUUAGGAUGUUGUGGGGUCUGUCCCAACAUCCAUCUCAGUAUUAUAGAGGCUUCAUGGACAGUCAAACAGUUAGUUUUGAGUCUCGCAUCUAUGUAUUUGCAGAUACUUUGUUUUGAGACAUAAGUUGCCAUUUUGGCUAAGAUGUUAUCAUUUAAACUAUUACUUGAGUUUAUGUUGUUGAGUUAAGUCUUCCGCUGAGUUAAGUAAGCUAGGCCAAGGGUUCGCUUGGGGCCAACAAUGGUCUUCGAGUGUCGGCCACGUCUAGGGUGUAGGCUCGGGGCGUGACAUAGUCAACAAAUCAAUAGUGAAAAAAUCCAACUUCGAAGAUGGAUUGAGUGGAGAAGAGACUAGGGGUAAAUGAUCACAAUUGAACUCAUUUAAAGCUCCAGAGUAAACUUUCUUUGACUUACUAUUAUUCCUGUUGGCUCCCGGAGGAUUUCAAGUCCCUGAAAAUAAUGUAAAUCUCCCAAAUCUUUGAGCUUAAAUUCUGAAUGCAAGAACUCUUUUAGCUGCACUAGUUCUGCUUCAUUGUUUCCUGUUAGAAUAAUAUCAUCUGCAUAGACAGCUAGAAUGGAGAUAUUAGUUCCUGAUAUCUUGAAGAAAAAUGAGUAGUCAUUGAGUGAUGAGCAAAAACCUUUGGAAUUUAAAGCUUCUGCCAAUUUUGAGUACCAUUGCCUUGAUGCUUGUCUAAGUCCAUAUAAAGACUUCUUGAGUUUGCAAACAUGUUGGGAACUAGGUGAUUGCAUUCCUAUUGGAAACUUCAUGAAAACUUCCUCAUCAAUUUCUCCAUGUAAAAAUGCAUUAUUGACAUCUAGUUGUGAAAUAUUCCAUCCUUGCUUCACUGCUAUAGUCAAUAAGCACCUAAUAGUUGUCAUUUUGACAACCGGUGAAUAAGUCUCACUAAAAUCAAUACCUUCCUUCUGAAUAGCUCCUCUAAUCACCAAUCUUGCUUUCAGCCUCUCUAUACUUCCAUCAGAAUUAUGCUUGAUUUUGUAAACCUAUUUACAUGGUAAUGCUUUCCUUCCUUUUGGUAAUUCCACGACUUCCCAAGUUUGAUUCUCAAGGAGUGCUCUAAUUUCAUCUUCCAUAGCCAAGUUCCAUCCCGGAUGUAACGCUGCCUGGGCAUAAGAAGUUGGUUCUGUGAUGUUUGAAAUAGAGUUCAAGACUUGUUGAUUUGUUGUGGAUAGGCUAGCAAAAGAAUAGCUUUUAGGGAUAAUAGGCCGACUGAAACAAGUAUUGGUUAGAUCUGUCAAAAGAACUGCAUUGCAGACAUACUCUUCUAAGUAGGCUGGUUUCUUGUGUAUUCUUUCUGACUUUCUUUGCGUGACUGUGGAAGGUGAAAUAUCUUGCGUCUCAUGCAAGGUCACAGAGUCAAGUCCUUCUGAGUUCCUUGUAUCAACAUGAUGUGAUUUAAUUUCUGUUUCCAAAUGUGAUGUAUGAGGCACCUCAUUCAUACUUUCAGGUUCAUGUUUUGAGGUAAAAAAGGAUCUGGUUCAAUGUUUGGCAGAAAGUCAGUUUGUGAGAUAGAAUGAUCAGUGGUAAAUAUAUGAGUCGGGAAUGAGGUUUGUGAACUUGAGAUGGUGGAAAAAGGGUAAAUAUUUUCAUGAAACUUGACAUUCCUGGAAACUAUUAUCUUUCUAGUAUCCAAAACAAGCAAUCUAUAUCCCUUUUUUCCAUGAGGAUAGCCUAUGAAGACACAUGGAAUGACUCUAGGCUCAAACUGUCCCCUAUUGUGCGCCACAAUACUAGCAUAGCAUAGACAACCAAAGCUCCUAAGAUAGGAGUAAUUAGGAGGACUUCCUAAUAGAACCUCAUAGGGAGUUCUGUUUUUAAGGACUUUAGAGGGAUAUCGAUUUAUAAGGUAUGUAGCCAUUAGGACACACUCUCUCCAAUAUGAAAUAGGCAAUUUAGAUUGAUGAAGUAGUGCCCUCGAUACCUCGAGAAGAUGCUUGUGUUUUCUCUCCACAACACCAUUUUGUUGUGGAGUAUGAACAUAAGUGGUUUGAUGAACAAUACCUUGUGAAGCAAAAAAUUCAGCUGACAGGUUGCUUCCACCCAAUUCCAAUGCAUUGUUGGACCUGAUUAUCUUAACUUUGACGUUGAAUUGUCUUUCAACCAUCACUAGAAAAUACUUUAAGACAGUGAAAGCAUUACUUUUUGUUUUUAGAAGAUGAGUCCAAGUUGCUCUACUAUAGUCAUCCACUAUAGUUAAAAAAUAUUUGUAUCCAUCAUGAGAAAGAGUUUUGUAUGGCCCCCAAGUGUAAAUAUGGAUUAAUUCAAAGAUCUUCUUAGAACUGAUAUUACUAGAUUGAAAAGGUAACUUGGAUUGUCUAGCUAAGGGACAUAUAUUGCAAUUAGCAUUAAAAUGAAAAGGAGAAACAAGAACUGAACAAAUAUUCUUCAUUGAUUGAAAUGGCAUAUGCCCCAAUCUAAGGUGCCACUGCCUUACAUCAAAAGCAUUCUUUAUAGGAAUUGAAAAAGUGCUUGAAACAGAAAGACAUCUAGAUUUUUCUUGAUUGCACAAAUUAACUGAUGUGCUGACGAAACUCUUAAGGUACUAGAAACUUGACUUUAGGAGAUAUAGCCCUGCUCUUGCUUUACCAAAUGCUAGAGGCCUCUUCAUUGAAGGGCCCUGCAGAAAACAACCAAAAGAGGAAAAAAUGAGUAAGCAACUUAACUAUUUACACAACUUGUAGACUGAAAUGAGGUUAUAUUUGAAACAUGGAACAAAUAAGACAUCUUUCAAAAUGAGUUUAGUAUGUAAAGGGACACUUCCAACUUGAGUAACCUUGACCCUAUGAGAAUUAGGAUGAUCAACAAAUACAAGAGUCUUAAGAGUAUUGAGUUCUAAGAAGAUCUUUGAAUCAAAACACAUAUGUUGAGUAGCACCUGAAUCCAAUAUUCAGGUUCUUUGAUUGAAAUCAAUAACUUUAUGAGGUGUUUUAUUGAAAACCUUACCAGCACAAGUCACUGCAUUGGC
rnacentral:lncRNA from 1 species